AUCAUGUUCACCUCCCUCUUCCAACUCCUCUCAGAUCUACCCCUCCUUCUCUACCUGCCCAAAUGUAGCUGUUGACUUGAGGGUGUUAUAACAUGCAGCCUCACUGUCAGGAAGUAGCAGCAACACCGAUAUGUUUGGGCUUCUGGAGUUGAGCAGAGGACUUUCCAAGCAUUAACAGAAUUCCAGAAGAGAGAAAAUCAACUGCUUUGAUUUUUCCUCAGAGCCUACUGGACCCAGAAACUUAACCAGCAGGUUUCCAAGGC